CUUCUUAUUUUGAGGCACCUAAACUAACCCCUUGUCCACCGUGCUGCCAGCCACCUUACAACGACCGGUAUUUUCUGCUUGCAAAUAUCAAAUCCAGAAGAUGCCUGACGGUGUCCAUGGUGAUCAUUGAAGCAUUUCUGGUUUUCCUUGUCAUACCUGGAACUGACAGGCUGCUUCCAGGACUCUCUGCACAUUUUCCUGAGUGAGGAGCGCCUGGCUGGUGCCGCUGCAGAACAUGGCCCUGAACACAACAGCACCCUUCAACUCCAUGGCCAGGCCUCCAUCUUCCCAGUGGUACUCGCUGCCACUCUCCGAGCCCGCGUCUUCCAACAAAGGGCCCUCUGUCGUCUUCUCGAGUGAGUCGCUCAUCUUUUAAGGCUCUUCUUGAAACUACUGCUCACUUCUCUCCCUCGGUGAACACCUGCAAGAUGCACGGACCAUAAUACUCCUGUGGUUGUUACGCUGGCGAGCUUGCUGCCGC